rnacentral:rRNA from 1 species
GAUGAACGCUGGCGGCGUGCUUAACACAUGCAAGUCGAACGGAAAGGCUCCUGCUUGCAGGGGUACUCGAGUGGCGAACGGGUGAGUAACACGUGGGUGAUCUGCCCUGCACUUCGGGAUAAGCCUGGGAAACUGGGUCUAAUACCGGAUAGGACCACCUUUUGGAUGGUGUGGUGGAGAGUUUUUCGGUGUGGGAUGAGCUCGCGGCCUAUCAGCUUGUUGGUGGGGUAGUGGCCUACCAAGGCGUCGACGGGUAGCCGGCCUGAGAGGGUGUACGGCCACAUUGGGACUGAGAUACGGCCCAGACUCCUACGGGAGGCAGCAGUGGGGAAUAUUGCACAAUGGGCGGAAGCCUGAUGCAGCGACGCCGCGUGCGGGAUGACGGCCUUCGGGUUGUAAACUCCUUUCGCUAGGGACGAAGCGCAAGUGACGGUACCUGGUGAAGAAGCACCGGCUAACUACGUG